rnacentral:lncRNA from 1 species
GUUGCCCAGUAGAUACAACCCAAGAGGGGGGGGUGAAUUGGGUCUUUUAAAACUUUUAUGCUACUUCUAAAACUUUUUGAUUAACUAUGCUAAGUUGUAUAGAUGCACAGUGAAAGUUAAACUUAGCAAGGGUUUGAUGUAUAGACUUCGACUUGAUUAAAUAUGCUUCCAACUAAAGGAUGUGCGGAUAAGAAUUAAGCAAGCAAUUUAUCUAAGUAAGUAAGUGUGUUAGUUAGACAAUAACUAGAGGCAUUACAAAUACAAAGGACAUAUAGUGGUUCGGUGCACCCCAGCACCUACAUCCACUCCCCAAGACCUCUUGGGAAUUUCACUAUAAUCCUACCGAUUACAGCCGGUUGUUUUACAAGCUCACAACCCAACUUGUUGUUUUACGAGCGCACAACAAACUCGGUCGGUUUUUCCAGGCUUACCGACUAGAAUCUCCCCGAUUGUUUUCCCGGGAUCACAAUCAAACCCUUACACGUUGGUUUUACCCUCGGCUCACCAACAAACCUAUCACCGUUGGUUUUCCCUUUGGCUCACCAACAAACCUUAACACCGUUGGUUUUUCUUUGGCUCACCAACAAACCUUAACCCCUUGAUUCAAUCCCUUGAUUGAAUCAAGUUACAAGAUAUUA